CAGCCGCCGCGGUAAUACGAGGGGGGCUAGCGUUGUUCGGAAUUACUGGGCGUAAAGCGCACGUAGGCGGAUAUUUAAGUCAGGGGUGAAAUCCCAGAGCUCAACUCUGGAACUGCCUUUGAUACUGGGUAUCUUGAGUAUGGAAGAGGUGAGUGGAAUUGCGAGUGUAGAGGUGAAAUUCGUAGAUAUUCGGAGGAACACCAGUGGCGAAGGCGGCUCACUGGUCCAUUACUGACGCUGAGGUGCGAAAGCGUGGGGAGCAAACAGGAUUAGAGACCCGCGUAGUCCCUGUCUCUUAUAC
rnacentral:rRNA from 1 species